rnacentral:rRNA from 1 species
GUGGGGAAUCUUGCGCAAUGGGCGAAAGCCUGACGCAGCCAUGCCGCGUGAAUGAUGAAGGUCUUAGGAUUGUAAAAUUCUUUCACCGGGGACGAUAAUGACGGUACCCGGAGAAGAAGCUCCGGCUAACUUCGUGCCAGCAGCAGCGGUAAUACGAAGGGGGCUAGCGUUGCUCGGAAUUACUGGGCGUAAAGGGCGCGUAGGCGGACAGCUUAGUCAGAGGUGAAAGCCCAGGGCUCAAACUUGGAAUUGCCUUUGAUACUGGCUGUCUUGAGUUUGGGAGAGGUGAGUGGAACUCCGAGUGUAGAGGUGAAAUUCGUAGAUAUUCGGAAGAACACCAGUGGCGAAGGCGACUCACUGGCCCAAUACUGACGCUGAGGCGCGAAAGCGUGGGGAGCAAACAGGAUUAGAAACCCCUGUAGUCC